GGUCCCAGGUUGUCUAAGACCACAGAUUGUCGGCGCCCAGCAGCUCAACCCCAUGGCAGUGGCGCUGAAGAGAAAGUGUCCACGUCUAGAGUGGCGCAGCUGCUUCCUCUGGCUCUUUGCCUCUCCCUGCUCCUCACCCUGCCUGCCCUUAUGGCAGUGGCGCACCUCUAUGCCAAUGGACAGGCAAAGCUUAAUCUCAUAGAAACCCUGCACAAGAAUUUAUCUGCAACCUUGAAUACCACUGAUUUAAUUGCUGGUGUAGAGGAACUGCUUGUCAAGCAUGAAGGU